rnacentral:rRNA from 1 species
UUAAGUUAUUAAGGGCGCACGGUGGAUGCCUUGGCACUAGAAGCCGAUGAAGGACGUUACUAACGACGAUAUGCUUUGGGGAGCUGUAAGUAAGCUUUGAUCCAGAGAUUUCCGAAUGGGGAAACCCAGCAUGAGUUAUGUCAUGUUAUCGAUAUGUGAAUACAUAGCAUAUCAGAAGGCACACCCGGAGAACUGAAACAUCUUAGUACCCGGAGGAAGAGAAAGAAAAUUCGAUUCCCUUAGUAGCGGCGAGCGAAACGGGAAGAGCCCAAACCAACAAGCUUGCUUGUUGGGGUUGUAGGACACUCUAUACGGAGUUACAAAGGACGACAUUAGACGAAUCAUCUGGAAAGAUGAAUCAAAGAAGGAAAUAAUCCUGUAGUCGAAAAUGUUGUCUCUCUUGAGUGGAUCCUGAGUACGACGGAGCACGUGAAAUUCCGUCGGAAUCUGGGAGGACCAUCUCCUAAGGCUAAAUACUCUCUAGUGACCGAUAGUGAACCAGUACCGUGAGGGAAAGGUGAAAAGCACCCCGGAAGGGGAGUGAAAUAGAACCUGAAACCGUGUGCUUACAAGUAGUCAGAGCCCGUUAAUGGGUGAUGGCGUGCCUUUUGUAGAAUGAACCGGCGAGUUACGAUUUGAUGCAAGGUUAAGCAGUAAAUGUGGAGCCGUAGCGAAAGCGAGUCUGAAUAGGGCGUUUAGUAUUUGGUCGUAGACCCGAAACCAGGUGAUCUACCCUUGGUCAGGUUGAAGUUCAGGUAACACUGAAUGGAGGACCGAACCGACUUACGUUGAAAAGUGAGCGGAUGAACUGAGGGUAGCGGAGAAAUUCCAAUCGAACCUGGAGAUAGCUGGUUCUCUCCGAAAUAGCUUUAGGGCUAGCCUCAAGUGAUGAUUAUUGGAGGUAGAGCACUGUUUGGACGAGGGGCCCCUCUCGGGUUACCGAAUUCAGACAAACUCCGAAUGCCAAUUAAUUUAACUUGGGAGUCAGAACAUGGGUGAUAAGGUCCGUGUUCGAAAGGGAAACAGCCCAGACCACCAGCUAAGGUCCCAAAAUAUAUGUUAAGUGGAAAAGGAUGUGGCGUUGCCCAGACAACUAGGAUGUUGGCUUAGAAGCAGCCAUCAUUUAAAGAGUGCGUAAUAGCUCACUAGUCGAGUGACACUGCGCCGAAAAUGUACCGGGGCUAAACAUAUUACCGAAGCUGUGGAUUGUCCUUUGGACAAUGGUAGGAGAGCGUUCUAAGGGCGUUGAAGCAUGAUCGUAAGGACAUGUGGAGCGCUUAGAAGUGAGAAUGCCGGUGUGAGUAGCGAAAGACGGGUGAGAAUCCCGUCCACCGAUUGACUAAGGUUUCCAGAGGAAGGCUCGUCCGCUCUGGGUUAGUCGGGUCCUAAGCUGAGGCCGACAGGCGUAGGCGAUGGAUAACAGGUUGAUAUUCCUGUACCACCUAUAAUCGUUUUAAUCGAUGGGGGGACGCAGUAGGAUAGGCGAAGCGUGCGAUUGGAUUGCACGUCUAAGCAGUAAGGCUGAGUAUUAGGCAAAUCCGGUACUCGUUAAGGCUGAGCUGUGAUGGGGAGAAGACAUUGUGUCUUCGAGUCGUUGAUUUCACACUGCCGAGAAAAGCCUCUAGAUAGAAAAUAGGUGCCCGUACCGCAAACCGACACAGGUAGUCAAGAUGAGAAUUCUAAGGUGAGCGAGCGAACUCUCGUUAAGGAACUCGGCAAAAUGACCCCGUAACUUCGGGAGAAGGGGUGCUCUUUAGGGUUAACGCCCAGAAGAGCCGCAGUGAAUAGGCCCAAGCGACUGUUUAUCAAAAACACAGGUCUCUGCUAAACCGUAAGGUGAUGUAUAGGGGCUGACGCCUGCCCGGUGCUGGAAGGUUAAGAGGAGUGGUUAGCUUCUGCGAAGCUACGAAUCGAAGCCCCAGUAAACGGCGGCCGUAACUAUAACGGUCCUAAGGUAGCGAAAUUCCUUGUCGGGUAAGUUCCGACCCGCACGAAAGGCGUAACGAUUUGGGCACUGUCUCAACGAGAGACUCGGUGAAAUCAUAGUACCUGUGAAGAUGCAGGUUACCCGCGACAGGACGGAAAGACCCCGUGGAGCUUUACUGUAGCCUGAAUAUUGAAAUUCGGCACAGCUUGUACAGGAUAGGUAGGAGCCUUUGAAACGUGAGCGCUAGCUUACGUGGAGGCGCUGGUGGGAUACUACCCUAGCUGUGUUGGCUUUCUAACCCGCACCACUUAUCGUGGUGGGAGACAGUGUCAGGCGGGCAGUUUGACUGGGGCGGUCGCCUCCUAAAAGGUAACGGAGGCGCUCAAAGGUUCCCUCAGAAUGGUUGGAAAUCAUUCAUAGAGUGUAAAGGCAUAAGGGAGCUUGACUGCGAGACCUACAAGUCGAGCAGGGUCGAAAGACGGACUUAGUGAUCCGGUGGUUCCGCAUGGAAGGGCCAUCGCUCAACGGAUAAAAGCUACCCCGGGGAUAACAGGCUUAUCUCCCCCAAGAGUUCACAUCGACGGGGAGGUUUGGCACCUCGAUGUCGGCUCAUCGCAUCCUGGGGCUGUAGUCGGUCCCAAGGGUUGGGCUGUUCGCCCAUUAAAGCGGUACGCGAGCUGGGUUCAGAACGUCGUGAGACAGUUCGGUCCCUAUCCGUCGUGGGCGUAGGAAAUUUGAGAGGAGCUGUCCUUAGUACGAGAGGACCGGGAUGGACAUACCUCUGGUGUACCAGUUGUCGUGCCAACGGCAUAGCUGGGUAGCUAUGUGUGGACGGGAUAAGUGCUGAAAGCAUCUAAGCAUGAAGCCCCCCUCAAGAUGAGAUUUCCCAACUUCGGUUAUAAGAUCCCUCAAAGAUGAUGAGGUUAAUAGGUUCGAGGUGGAAGCAUGGUGACAUGUGGAGCUGACGAAUACUAAUCGAUCGAAGACUUAAUCAA